rnacentral:lncRNA from 1 species
UGCUCCCGAACCACCAGCUUUAGCAAGUCACUUCUCACCCUAACUCCAGGUACCUGGAAUCUGGAAAGAGCACCAAACCCCAACUGCUGGACACCAGAGAUGCCAGAACACUACAUAUGGAGCCAACUUGCAAAUAACUACAAAGUCCAGAGGCUGAGGCUGAGGGACAGAGUGGACCUCCAGAAUCCGUGCACUGAGCUAAGGAAGGAAGAGAGUGCUUACACCAAGUCUCUUAGCUAUGACGCAAGAAGGAGAGGCACUGUUCACAAGCCCACUCUUCUGGGGCUCCCCUUAGGAAUGGAAGCCUUCCUCUUAUGAACCCCAAUGGGAGCCUCCUCUGACUUCUCCGUACAGUUACUAUUCACCAGAUAUCCAUGUGCUACGUGGACAAGAGACAAGCAAGGGCAAAUUUCACUUCUGCCUCUUACCAGUUAGUUACAUAGCUCUGAACAAGUCAGAAGAUAACCGAAGAACUAACCAGGGGCUCCAUCAGGACUAACAGGGCUGCUAUAUGCAGGCGUGGGCACAGGUCCGCAGUUACUUUAAUUGUGGGCAUUAUUUAUCCUGUUUGUUCCAAAUUCAGGAGCAAUGCUCCAAAUGACCUCAGGGGCUAUCCUGAAUGCAUCUAGGGAUAAGCAUGUUGGGGGAAUUGGUCAUCCCUGCAGCUCUGCCUGGGCUCAGGCCAGAUCCAAGGUAGUGAGGGUGGGCAUGCAGGUGGGAGUGGGGGCUGCCAUGGGCUAGUAGCUGUGGGAGUGGGGACCUGGCUCCAUGUCCCCCCACGUGGGAGGUUGCCUGGAUCUCAGGCAGUCCUGCCUUUCUGGUUAGGGCUUCCCAACUUUUGCGGCUGUCCUCAGGGGCAAGCUAUUUUAGGUAGCAGUCAAAAUAAAACUGAGAUUAACCCAGAA